GUGCUAGCUUCAGCAGCACAUAUACUAAAACGGAAACAAUACAGAAGAGAUUAGCAUGUCCUCUGUGCAAGAAUAACAUGCAAAUUUUGAAGUAUCCCAUAUUCUU